UGGGUUCCUCAUCCUUUGACUCGAGCAGCUCAUCCAUAACAGAGAAGUAUGAGUGGAAGGAAAAAUCUGAAAAAUCACGGACAACCGUACAUGCUCCCCAAACACAGGUCCAGGUGCCAUCUGUCAAGCAUCUGAUCAACUUCAUGUGGAUUGGACCUUUCUUACUGAUAGCCCUAAAUGUCUCCAUUACAGGCCAAACGAAACCAUAUCCAGCACCCAUAAUCGCACUCCCAGCAACUCCAAUAACAGUCCACAAUGCUAUUGGUAUUGGGACUAGUAAAAUCAAGAGGCACUUCAUACAUGGGCCAAAUUUCUUUGUUUUGAUUAAGCAGUUGAUACUCCAAACAAGAUGAAGGGGCCAUAAACCUAUGACAACACCAGUAUCUCCAAAAGCAAUAACCAGAAACACAAAG
rnacentral:misc_RNA from 1 species